rnacentral:miRNA from 1 species
CCUCCAGAUGUUUUGAGACUACAAUUCCCAUCAUCCCUGACCAAUAGUCUUGUUAGCUAGGGAUGAUGCGAGUUGUAGUCCCAAAACAGCUGGAGG